rnacentral:rRNA from 1 species
UACGUAGGGGGCAAGCGUUGUCCGGAUUUAUUGGGCGUAAAGAGCGUGUAGGCGGCCGUACAGGUCAGCUGUGAAAACUCGAGGCUCAACCUCGAGACGUCGGUUGAAACCGUACGGCUAGAGUCCGGAAGAGGAGAAUGGAAUUCCCGGUGUAGCGGUGAAAUGCGCAGAUAUCGGGAAGAACACCCGUGGCGAAGGCGGGUCUCUCGG